AGCAAUUCUUGUGCCUCAGCCUCCCAAACCGGGAUUACAGAAAAUUCCUCCAGGUCUUCUGAAAAGGUUGGCAUGCUGAGGGACAGCUGAGUAAGCUUCAAUCAUGGAGAAAAGAUAAUAUCCUACAGGAAG